rnacentral:rRNA from 1 species
UACGGAGGAUGCGAGCGUUAUCCGGGGUUUAUUGGGUUUAAAGGGUGCGUAGGCGGCUUUUUAAGUCAGCGGUGAAAUUUUGCAGCUUAACUGUAACAGUGCCGUUGAUACUGGGGAGCUAGGAUUUGGUUGCUGUGGGUGGAAUGUGUGGUGUAGCGGUGAAAUGCUUAGAGAUCACACAGAAUAUCGAUUGCGAAGGCAGCUCACAAAGCCAAGAUUGACGCUGAGGCACGAAAGUGUGGGGAUCAAACAGGAUUAGA